GCCUGGGUGGUUCAGUUGGUUAAGCGUCUGACUUCGGUUCAGGUCAUGAUCUCAUGGUUUGUGAGUUCGAGCCCCACAUCAGGCA
rnacentral:tRNA from 1 species